UAUAUAUACAUAGAUAAACCCUAAUAAUAUAACCCCCACUUGCCCAAAAAAAUCAUAACUCCCUGUCAACAGGCAGAAAGCAAAUCAAACAAGGAAUUCCAGAAAAAUGGGAAGCAAUCAAGCUGCAGUGUCUUUCUUAACCAACAUCGCACGCGCAGCUUUUGGCCUCGGUGCCGCUGCAACUCUCCUCAAUGCCUCCAUGUACACCGUGGACGGUGGCGAAAGAGCUGUAAUCUUUGAUCGUUUAAGAGGAGUGUUGGACAAAACGGCCGAAGAAGGUACCCACUUUUUGGUCCCAUGGCUGCAGAAGCCUUUCAUCUAUGAUAUACGUAUGAAGCCUCACACCUUCUCAUCUAUUUCCGGAACCAAGGAUCUCCAGAUGGUUAACCUCACUCUUCGAGUCCUUUCUAAACCUAAGGUGGAUAAGCUUCCUGAAAUUUAUCAACGCCUUGGUCUCGAGUACGAUGAGAAAGUGCUUCCCUCCAUUGGAAAUGAGGUGUUGAAAGCUGUGGUUGCACAGUUCAAUGCUGAUCAGCUUCUCACCGAGCGCCCCCAAGUGUCUGCAUUGGUCCGGAAUUCACUGACACAGCGUGCGAGGGACUUUAACAUUGAGCUAGCCGAUGUAGCGAUUACACACUUGUCGUAUGGUGCCGAAUUCUCAAGAGCAGUGGAGCAAAAGCAGGUGGCACAACAGGAGGCAGAGCGGUCAAGGUACGUUGUGGCGAAAGCUGAUCAGGAAAGGAGGGCUGCUGUUAUCCGAGCAGAAGGUGAAAGUGAGGCUGCGAAGUUAAUUUCGGAAGCAACUCUGACUGCUGGUAUGGGACUGAUUGAGCUAAGGAGGAUUGAGGCAUCAAGGGAAAUUGCUGGAACCCUUGCUAAGUCACCCAACGUGCAAUAUAUUCCUGGUGGACAAAACAUACUUCUCGCUAUGAAUCCAUCUAGGCCAUGAUGUUUCAGGGAUGAAUACAUACAGAAUGGAGAUAUCAAACCUUCCAAGUAAAGAACUGUUACAAUUAACGAAUGAAGGAAGUAAUAGAUUUAGAAAGGAAGCAACAUAAAAUAAACCAAAUUUGAUACCUUGCUGCUAAGGCACAAUUUGCCUCUGCCAAUCUACGAGUGUCUUCCUUAUCGCGUAUGGCAUUGCCACUCCCUUUGGCACAUCUACUAAUUCAGAACUUAAUUUGAAAGUGAUACUUUGACUCAAAUGUUAUUCGGGGUGCUGCUAAUAACCAACUAAUGGCAAGUGAUUUUCCUUGUAUGGAUCCUAUUUCAAUGGGAACUUGAUGUAGCUUAGAAGUACGAAUGCCUACAGUCAUCUGCUCUCCUCAUAAUAUGAGCUUAUGACUUGGAAUGAGGCUCGACUGGUUGUGAAUUUACGUAUUUUUAUUGCAUUAUCAUUGAUGGGAACUUUGUGAUGUUUGAAACCAUCUUAUGUCUAGGAAAAAGAAAAUAAAGUUUGAAGGACCAUGCUUAGCUUUAAGGUGUUUUUGAUGUCCAGUUGGAGAACAUAUGCCUUUUAGAAUUAGAUUACUAGUAGAAAUCAGUUAUUUUACAACUUUAAAGAUGGUUUUGAUGCUAAAUAUAUGUCCACUUCUUAUUGUUCCCAAAGUAUUCCUUAAUCUUACCAUGUAAGGUUGCUUAUUGAUAAUAAAAUUCUUCGAAGGUAUCAGUUAA